rnacentral:rRNA from 1 species
CACGUAGGCGGCUUGGCAAGUCAGGGGUGGCAAGCUCUAGGCUUAACCUAGAAAUUGCCUCUGAAACUACCUCGCUUGAGGGUCAGAGGGGAAACUGGAAUUCACGGUGUAGCGGUGAAAUGCGUAGAUAUCGUGGAGAACACCCGUGGCGAAGGCGGGUUUCUGGCUGACAACUGACGCUGAGGUGCGAAAGCUAGGGGAGCGAACGGGAUUAGAUACCCCGGUAGUCCUAGCCGUAAACGAUGAGUACUAGGUGUGGGGGUUAACGACUUCCGUGCCGACGCUAACGCAUUAAGUACUCCGCCUGGGGACUACGGCCGCAGGUUAA